rnacentral:rRNA from 1 species
GACGAACCGUGCGAACGUUGUUCGGAAUCACUGGGCUUAAAGGGCGCGUAGGCGGGCUGUCAAGUCUGGGGUGAAAUGCCGCGGCUCAACCGUGGAACUGCCUUAGAUACUGACGGCCUCGAGGAAGGUAGGGGCAUGCGGAACUGUAGGUGGAGCGGUGAAAUGCGUUGAUAUCUACAGGAACUCCGGUGGCGAAAGCGGCGUGCUGGACCUUUUCUGACGCUGAGGCGCGAAAGCAUGGGGAGCAAACAGG